AUUAAGAUGAAGUUUCGGAUGGAAUCUUGAUUGAGUGAGUGGCGGACGGGUGAGUAACGCGUGGAUAACCUGCCUCACACUGGGGGAUAACAGUUAGAAAUGACUGCUAAUACCGCAUAAGCGCACAGUGCCGCAUGGCAGUGUGUGAAAAACUCCGGUGGUGUGAGAUGGAUCCGCGUCUGAUUAGCCAGUUGGCGGGGUAACGGCCCACCAAAGCGACGAUCAGUAGCCGACCUGAGAGGGUGACCGGCCACAUUGGGACUGAGACACGGCCCAAACUCCUACGGGAGGCAGCAGUGGGGAAUAUUGCACAAUGGGCGAAAGCCUGAUGCAGCGACGCCGCGUGAGUGAAGAAGUAUUUCGGUAUGUAAAGCUCUAUCAGCAGGGAAGAAAAUGACGGUACCUGACUAAGAAGCCCCGGCUAACUACGUGCCAGCAGCCGCGGUAAUACGUAGGGGGCAAGCGUUAUCCGGAUUUACUGGGUGUAAAGGGAGCGUAGACGGCGAAGCAAGUCUGAAGUGAAAACCCAGGGCUCAACCCUGGGACUGCUUUGGAAACUGUUUUGCUAGAGUGUCGGAGAGGUAGUGGAAUUCCUAGUGUAGCGGUGAAAUGCGUAGAUAUUAGGAGGAACACCAGUGGCGAAGGCGGCUUACUGGACGAUAACUGACGUUGAGGCU
rnacentral:rRNA from 1 species